rnacentral:rRNA from 1 species
GGACUACUGGGGUAUCUAAUCCUGUUUGCUCCCCUAGCUUUCGUCUCUCAGCGUCAGUUGCGGUCCAGUGAGCCGCCUUCGCCUCUGGUGUUCCUGCAGAUAUCUACGCAUUUCACCGCUACACCUGCAAUUCCACUCACCUCUCCCGCACUCCAGCACGGCAGUUUCGAAAGCAGCCUCGGAGUUAAGCCCCGAGAUUUCACUCCCGACUUGCCGCACCGCCUACAGACCCUUUACGCCCAGUCAUUCCGAGCAACGCUGGCCCCCUACGUCUUACCGCGGCUGCUGGCAC